UGGGGCGUCGCCAAGCGGUAAGGCAACGGUUUUUGGUAUCGUCAUCCCAGGUUCGAAUCCUGGCGCCCCAGCCA
rnacentral:tRNA from 1 species